rnacentral:rRNA from 1 species
GACGAACCGAGCAAACGUUAUUCGGAAUCACUGGGCUUAAAGGGCGCGUAGGCGGUCUCGUAAGUCUGCGGUGAAAUCCUCCAGCUCAACUGGAGAACGGCCGUGGAUACUGCGAGUCUCGAGGGGGGUAGGGGCGUGCGGAACAGAUGGUGGAGCGGUGAAAUGCGUUGAUAUCAUCUGGAACUCCGGUGGCGAAGGCGGCACGCUGGACCUCUUCUGACGCUGAGGCGCGAAAGCCAGGGGAGCAAACGGG